GCCAUAACUCAGUGGUAGAGCAUUUGCCUUUCAAACAGAAGGUCCCAGGUUCAUAUUCAGGUAGGGAUG